rnacentral:piRNA from 1 species
UCAAUAAACACUGAGAUAUUC